rnacentral:rRNA from 1 species
AUUGAACGUUGGCGGCAGGCCUAACACAUGCAAGUCGAACGAGAAAGUACCUUCGGGUGCGAGUACAGUGGCGGACGGGUGAGUAACGCGUAGGAAUCUACCUAGUAGAGGGGGACAACUCGGGGAAACUCGAGCUAAUACCGCAUAAUAUUUUCUUCUUCGGAAGUUAAUCAAAGUGGGGGAUCUUCGGACCUCACGCUAUUAGAGGAGCCUGCGUUGGAUUAGCUUGUUGGUGAGGUAAAAGCUCACCAAGGCUACGAUCUAUAGCUGGUCUGAGAGGACGAUCAGCCACACUGGAACUGAGACACGGUCCAG